CGUUCCUAAAAUUUAACAUAAAAAUAAAAAUUAUACAAAACUAAACAAAUUUUAACAUAAUUAUUAUAUAAUAAAAUUUAUAAUACAGAAAAUAUCUCAUUUUUUAUCCGUCGAAAAUCUAAUGCUACAAAUACAAAAUUAUUACUAUUAUACGGAUACACGAUGAUCAGUCGAAGUAAAUGAUUGAUUACCAAAUAAGAUCUCUAUAACCUUGCCUAGUUCAAAAAUAUCACAGGCGAGUUUAUCAAGAUCUCACUCAAUAGUCAAGUGUGUGUUGAACCGAAAAAUGUAGAAAACGACGACGACGACUGCACAGGAGGUCGUCGUCGUCGUCACGCACAGCCGGGCGGGCCACGGCGUUUGGUGAAGAACCAAACGGCCCGGUAGCUGUUCUCGGCUGGAAACGAACACGUUGUGUUUUGUAGGUAGCGCCCGAUCGCUCUUCCGGCGCUGACUAAUAAAACAUCGUCGUCCGUCGCUGACGACGGCCGCGGGCGUGUGACAUUGAAACCGGAGGCCCCCGUCAGCCGCCCGUCCUCACGUGGUGGCGCGCCGUCCGACCGGAUUCCUCGG